rnacentral:misc_RNA from 1 species
AUUGUUCAAGAUAUUCCUUAUUUUCUGCAAUUACAAAAAAAAAUAGCAUAAAGAUAAAAUAAUUAACAUAGUAGUUCUUGAUAUAGUGUUUAAGCUUGUCUUCGCCGUGUCUAAGCUUACCAAUAGAGACUGCAUUGGAAACUACUUACCAAAAGACAUUCAACAGCUUUACAAAUUACAUCUUACGUCAAACUAAUUUAUAUAACAAACAAAUUAUAGCUUACCAGUAGCACUUUACCUGAUUUUUCACAAAAGAGUGCAUUAAGAGAACUAGUACUUAGUUACACAGGAUUCACCUUAAGGAACAAGCAACAUGCAGG